rnacentral:rRNA from 1 species
GACGAACGCUGGCGGCGUGCUUAACACAUGCAAGUCGAGCGGGAAAGUUUCCUUCGGGAAGCGAGUACAGCGGCAGACGGGUGAGUACAACGUAGGUAACCUACCCUCGAGACCGGGAUAACCUGUCGAAAGACGGGCUAAUACCGGAUAAGACCACAAGGGCUGCGGCCUUUGAGGUAAAAGAUGGCCUCUGCUUGCAAGCUAUCACUUGGGGGAUGGGCCUGCGCGCCAUUAGCAGUUGGUGAGGUAACGGCUCACCAAGGCAAAGAUGGCUAGCUGGUCUGAGAGGAUGGCCAGCCACACUGGGACUGAGACACGGCCCAGACUCCUACGGGAGGCAGCAGUGGGGGAAUAUUGCGCAAUGGGCGAAAGCCUGACGCAGCGACGCCGGCGU